GAAAGAGAUACAUAGUAGCACGAGUAGUGCUAUAGCCUUAUCGGAAGCGGCGAAGGUGACGUGCACACACACACACACACUCACACGCGCCCCCACAUACCGGUUGCGCACGCGUGACUGUGCACAUCCGCGUGGCAGUGCGGCCUUGCUCGCCGAGUCUAUAUCAUCCAGAACGCAAACCUGCACACGCAUACUCGGCCUCUCGUACAGGACACAUAAAGGUCAUCAAUAUCACCAUCAUGACCGAAAAGGAAGCGAAUGACUUGAUCGCCUCUGCCUUCAGCUCUGAGGCGAUGGUGGAGGCGGUUGCGCGUGUUGUCGCGUCCGGCUACGAAAAAUGCUCACUCUGCAACAACAUCAUUGAAGGCGAAGCCGAGCAUGUUCUGCGGGAGCAUCCGCAUGUGCAGCAUAUUCACACAAUGGUGGCAAAGCCCAUAUCGCCACUGCCCGCUCGGGGAAGCCAGGACCAGGCUUCGAUGGAUGUCGGCUCCUUCGCGGUUGCAACGUCUGUCAAGGCUGAUCGCGGCGAGGACGCCUUCCGUGUCGUACAGCGCGCGCGGGCGCAGCUCCAUCGCCUCCUAGAUGGCAUGCAGGGCAUCGAGGGGCACGUGUACCUGUUCGGCAGUGUUGUUUCAAUGGGCUCGUGGGACGGCGUCGGCGAUGGCGACUUUUCUUUCAUAUGCCCCAAAUGGUACACUCUGCCGGCUCCGCAUGGGCAAGUGGUGGUGCGGGAGGAGGCCGUGGAAGAGGACAGUGACGACGAAACCCUUGCAGGGCGGAAGGAGGGCAAGGAAGUGGAAGAGAGCUCAUCCGUUGGAGAAGCUGAUGACUUCGGUACAGUCUCUGCCACCGCGCUGCGUCACGCGAGCCCAGGAAAAUCAGCUGAGGACGCCGCCACGGAGAAAUCCCAGUCGUCGGUGCUGUCUCUGAAGAAGGAGAAGCGCAUUAUUUGCAACAUCGCGGCGCGGCUGCGGGACGCCGGCUUCCGUUUCGAGGAGCUGGACCUUGUCUUGAGCACGCGCAUUCCUGUUGUGCGGCGUAAGCGGGCUGAGCAAGAGCCUCUUCGCCUGCACGCCGCCCCGCAGGGGUCCUUCAUUUGUGUUCGCUUUGACACGGCACACGCCGAAGAGCAGUUCCGCAACGAGCGUCUGAGCCGCGUCAUCUCCACCUACAACGCGGAGGAGGUGCCAAGCCGAGGCAAUCAGCGCGGCCGCUCGCUCGUACUGUGUGUGCCGGACUCCACCGACGCCAUUCAUCUCAUGUCACAGUGGAAGCGCAAAAAUGGGGUGCGGAGGGAAUGGCUGGGUAACCGCCGCUCACCGGAGAUCUUCUCCAUCGACUUUGACCUUUCGUGCCGCUGCAACGGUAUACGCAACAGCUGGUUGCUGCGGCGGUACCUCGCACAAAGUGAAGUGUUCCGCGUGGGCAACGUCUUUCUCAAGACGUGGAGCAAGGCGUGUGGUGUGAACAACUCCCGGGUCGGCUUCCUGACUUCGUAUGCGGUCUCUGUGUUGUGGAUUUACUUCCUGCUGCGUCGUGGUGAGGUCGUCUUUGUGAACCCUGCGGACAUCCCGGCGCUGCCGAACCCGAAGGAGCAGAUGGAAGUGCCCUACAUUCCUCUGUGGCCCGCAGUGGCCGACGCUGAGGCCGAUGCGGCUCGGACGGCGCGCCUCGGUAGCCUCCUACGAGGCUUCUUCUACUUUUACGGAGAGGAGUUCGACUGGGGCGCACACGUUGCGACGAUACGGCAGCCGUGCGACAGCGCCGCCGAUAUUCGUACCAAGGAGGACCUUGGCUGGGAGAAGUCUGACACGUUGAGCCUAGUGCUCCGAGACCGCUGCUACCACAUCUUCUCCAUCGAGGACGUCUACGAGGACGACCUCGACUUGGGCAGGCACCUCACACCGGAGAAGGCGGGUUGGAUACGCCUCCAGUUUCGCCUCGCCUAUCGACUGUGCUGCUCGACCCGGCGCGCUGGCGGAGCUGCAGGGCCGUCGCCGUUGUGGCAGCUAUUUGAUACACCGCGGAAGCGAGCAGAAGAUGUGCUGCACGCCCGAUUGUACGCGUACCUCCUGCGCAAUACCGAGGACGCAGCGGCGCCCAUUUCCGAGAUCCUCGAGCAGCUGGGUGUGGAUGAGGAGUCGGAGGCAGUGGAUGCGGACACGAAAGAAGAUCCCCUGUACCUUGCCUGCGCGUACGAGCUGGGCAAUCGACUGUGCGACCUCUGGUUCGACGAUGCGCAAGUUGCGCAGGACACCGCGUUCCACAAAAUGUACAACCGACGCAGCAUGGACUACACCCCGCCGGCGAACCCCACGACAUGCGGCGAAUGGGCCGCUGUGUGCACCGAUGACCUCCAAGAGCACCAUGAUCCAACAAGCGUGCAUCAGCAGCGCUGUGUGCGACUGGUUCCACCACUGAGAAGUGAGGCUGGUGCUCCUGCGCCACACUUCCAGGCGGCAAACGCGCCAGCGCGUGAGCGGGCUCUGCAGCUCAUCAAGUCACGCCGCCAGUAUGAAGAGUGUGCACGGGAGCUGGGGGCCCAUGCGGCGAAGAAAUCCAACCAGGCCCCGGCGGCUGUGGUCGGUGUGCCGCUUAAAAAAUCAGCCGCCGGCAUGCUGUACCCCCAUUGCUUCUACCCGCUUCAACAGCACCGACUGUUCGAGACGUACGCGGCUCGCGCAACGUUCACACGCUGCGUCCGGGACGUGAUUGAGGAGAUGGCGCUGCUUCGUGGCGCCGACGCACCGGCGGCAUUUGGGGAGAGAGGCGAUGUCCUGCACGACCGCAAUAAGCUCUUGCGGUACCUCAAGAAGCGACUCUGCUCCAGCGUAGUAGUCGCAGAUCCGACCUACGAAGCAGUGCUUCAGUUUGUAUGUCUGCCGACGGAGCCCUACAUUCACGCUCCGCAGCUGCCGCACGGGCACAAUGAGCGACCAACGCUCCACCCGACACCGCUUUUCCUCAGCCUCGUUGGUGACGGUAGUAGCGGUGCCGGUGUUGCGGCUAAGGCAAAGGUUCCCCGCGCGCGCCCGCCGUAGCAGUACUAGCGACUGAAGGCGCGGCCCGCGUUCGCCCUCCCAGACCCCUCCCCGUCGCGGGCGUCAAGAAGAACGCGCCAGCCGCGACCCCUGCUCCCGUGGUGCGCAAGGGCUACAACGGUCGCGUAAGGGAAAAAGAAAGAAAAGAACACCGCCAGCCAGUGCGAUUCCUGCACCGCCACCAACACCACUUCAGAGACCGUCUGCAUCCAAGGUGCAUCAGCGGCGUCGCAAAACGGGCACCUGUGACAACUGUAGCCGACAACACGUAGAGACAUUCCCGUUCACCCUGUCAGACAAGGAUAGCGGCUUCUACUGCACCAGGUACUGGGCCAACUAUUCGUCAAGCGCUGUCCCUGGGAGUCCAGGAAGGCAGAGGAGGGUCAGUGAUGCUGUGGUUUGGAUGAUCGUCGGCCUCUCUUCCAUCAUCUCGCUGUCAAGAAACGCACAUUCUGGCUUCCGUUUGUCAGUCUCCGCUGAGGUGCAAAUAACCUAAGCGUGAAUGUAGGUAUCGGGUGUAGUCUCGAAC
rnacentral:misc_RNA from 1 species